rnacentral:lncRNA from 1 species
GAGCCAUGGCAGCCCCCAUUCAGCUCUUUUCCCUCCUGUUACUCUGGCUCCCAGCUGAGGGACCAUGGGAUAGUUCUGCAUGUCUGUGAAACCUCUUUCAUUGUGGUUGAGUCUUGUGUCCUGGCACCUUUGUUUACCAAGCCCAGUGAUUAAAACUCAGGGUGCUGUAGGGUCCUGGCUCUACUGUGGAGACUGGGAUAUGAACUAGACCCCACAGGUGAUCUUUCUGUUCUCUUUCCAUCUCAGCUACCACAGGAGAAAUUGUGCUGACCCAGACUCCAGCCUCUGUGGUUUUGUCUCCAGGGGAAAAGUCACCCUCACCUGCAUGGCCAGUCAGAGUGUUGGCAGCUACUUAGCCUGGUACCAGCAGAAGCCUGGGCAAGCUCCCAGAUGUCUCAUCUAUGGUACAUCCAGCAGGGCCAGUGGCAUCUCAGCCUGGUUCAGUGGCAGUGGGUCAGGGACAGACUACACCCUCUUCAUCAGCAGCUUGGAGCCUGAGGAUGCUGCAGUUUAUUACUGUGUGCAAGGCCACACAGAUUACCACAGUGGUUCAGUCCCCUACAAAAACCUCACCAGC